rnacentral:lncRNA from 1 species
AACUGUUUUUGCUCUUUUUUAGAAAAUUUAGAAAAAUAAAUUGAAAUUUCGUGCCACUACUGACAUGUCACAUGUUAUUGUAUGUAAAGAUUAAAUUUUUGUUAUGAGAACUACAGUUCUUAUGAAAGAAAAAGAUUCACUAAAAGCCUACUACUACUACUACUCUGGUAAAUCACAUCAGCUUUAUCAGAAUUUAGAAAAAUGAAUUAAACUACAACUUUUGAACAGUCAUUGUUUGUGAAGUUGCCUUUGUUAUCACUUGAUUAGUUUGCUUACUGUUGAAACAUGGUUUUAAUUUUGUAAAUUUAAUGAUAUGAAAUUUACUCUAUUAAUCAUUAGUUGACAGUUAAAGAGAAGCUGGAGCUUUACAUAAUAAAGGCAUUGGAAGGCUUUACUUGACUUUCUUUUUAUGGUACCUGCUGUGUUGUAACAGAUCUUAAA